GGUAGGUAAUAACUUUUUAUUUCGUGUCGAACGAUUGACUAAUUAUCUUAUUUAAAAUUUUUUAUGAUUAAUAUUUUUAUUAUUACUAGACGAUAAAAUAUAAAGAGUGUUUUAUACGUUACUAAUUUUUUUAAGUUUUUAUAUAAAUUUUUUAAAUAAGACGAAUGGUUAAACAUUGGACACGGCAAAACGAAAAAUGAAGUUAUU
rnacentral:pre_miRNA from 1 species